AGAUCNAAGGAAUAGCCACUGGAAACGGUGAGUAAUACCUUAUACGCCCUUUGGGGGAAAGAUUUAUCGGAUUUGGAUCGGCCCGCGUUAGAUUAGAUAGUUGGUGGGGUAACGGCCUACCAAGUCUACGAUCUAUAGCUGGUUUUAGAGGAUGAUCAGCAACACUGGGACUGAGACACGGCCCAGACUCCUACGGGAGGCAGCAGUGGGGAAUCUUGGACAAUGGGCGCAAGCCUGAUCCAGCCAUGCCGCGUGAGUGAUGAANGCCUUAGGGUCGUAAAGCUCUUUCGCCUGUGANGAUAAUGACGGUAGCAGGUAAAGAAACCCCGGCUAACUCCGUGCCAGCAGCCGCGGUAAUACGGAGGGGGUUAGCGUUGUUCGGAAUUACUGGGCGUAAAGCGCACGUAGGCGGACUGGAAAGUAUGGGGUGAAAUCCCAGGGCUCAACCCUGGAACUGCCUCAUAAACUAUCAGUCUAGAGUUCGAGAGAGGUGAGUGGAAUUCCGAGUGUAGAGGUGAAAUUCGUAGAUAUUCGGAGGAACACCAGUGGCG
rnacentral:rRNA from 1 species